UACGAAGGGGGCUAGCGUUGCUCGGAAUCACUGGGCGUAAAGCGCACGUAGGCGGACUCUUAAGUCGGUGGUGAAAUCCUGGAGCUCAACUCCAGAACUGCCUUCGAUACUGAGAGUCUCGAGUCCGGGAGAGGUGAGUGGAACUGCGAGUGUAGAGGUGAAAUUCGUAGAUAUUCGCAAGAACACCAGUGGCGAAGGCGGCUCACUGGCCCGGUACUGACGCUGAGGUGCGAAAGCGUGGGGAGCAA
rnacentral:rRNA from 1 species